AUUCCUCGAGUAAGGAGCUAUACUCUGCCAUGGUUUUGGAGCAAGAUAAUCUGGCCAGCCACAGGCUGGGGGGGAAGGCUGGUCCUUUCAAGGAGAGACGUGCAAAAGGAUGUGAAAUUGUCAGGGAAGAUGCAAGGUGGCAAGCAUGACCUCAUGUCUGCUUUGGGAUCACAGAAACAGUGACCGGUGCUCCGAGGCAGUGGCUGACUGACAAGAGACCAGGGGAACCUUCAGGGGGGCCAGGAGUGACAGGCAGCUUUGUCAACAAUGCUGGGAAAGAAACAUCUUUCUAGCAAGAACCUCUGAGCACGCUAACCAGACCACAGCUGAGCACCCCGGAAUCCACCUGCCCCAGGAAAAGCUUCCAUCUUCCAAAAGCUAUGGAUCCCACAUCUUAAUUAGUUACUGCGGGCACACUGACACAGAGCACCCCCAGCAAAGACAACAGUUGGGCUUUGGAUCAAGAACACAGGGUCUGCAUAGCCCAGAGCUGGCAUGAUUCCUGGGGUCUGGCCAAGAAGAAGUGACCACUGUCUUCCAGCCCAGGAGCCAUGAGCUGCAUGGAAAGAAUGUGAAUGAAGACACCAUUCUAAAUGUAGACUCAUGGGUGCUAUGUGAGCCA
rnacentral:lncRNA from 1 species